UAAAACCUUUUGCUGAGUCCAAAAUUUGGAGCGGGGGAACCAUUUUUGUAGCUUUGCUACUUGGGGCGAAUCUUAUUUAAGUAGGGAAACUCUCACUUCCCGAGUCCGACAGCUAACCUCGUAAGCGUAAUGGGAGAGGAAGG
rnacentral:sRNA from 18 species